UUAGGUACUAGUGUGCCCUUCAGUACUUUACUAUGAUGGCAUUUGUUUGGAACAUUGAUUAGAGUAACACUGAUGGGCAUUCACUUAAGUGACUUUCUUAUUUUGAUUGGCAUGAUAGCUGCAAGUUUGUAUGCCAGUGUAUAGGCUAAUGUGCAGGGUUUGGUACAAAGGAAAAUUGCAUAAAAUAUAUUAUUUCAUUUUCUUACUUUCAAACAUUGAGGAGUAGACUCUUUGUUUUUUCAGCUAGUUGCCUAUAUCAGAUGUUCUAUGUAACAUGCACAUAUUAGUUAUUAUGCAUAUAGUAGAGAGAGAGAGAGGAAAGGACUCGGCAAACGGGAUGGGUCAGAAAGGUUAAAAAUUUUUUUUAAUUUCUCAAGAUAAACUUUUACCCCUAAAACAUGUUCCUUGGCUAUGUGAAGUCCUUCCCAUUUGAUUAUGAGUCACUGAGGGUAGAGGUCAUGUCACUAUCCUGUUUAUGAUGCUUAUUCUCCCUUAACCAUCUAGUAUCACUGCAAGUCACUGUUGGAACUUCACAUGGGCUCAGAUUGUAUUGAAUUGACUAUGAGAGCAGAAGGUGAUUUCAUCACCUUCUGAAUAAUAUUGUGGAGAGAUCAUGACAUGGUUCUGGAAAACAGGAAACCUGGAUUCUAUGUCCCAACUGGAAUAUCUAGUGUUAUGCCCUCAAAUAUAUCACCCAACCUCACUGGGGCCAGUUUUCUUGAAAAAUGAGAAGACUGGAUAAGAUUGGCUCAAAGUUUCCAAAAUCCUGUGAUUAUUCUGUUACCACUCUACAGUAAAUGCGUAGGGAAAUUUACACAUUGGGUAAGAAAUCUAGGUUGUAGAGUCCUUAUUUCCAUUUUUAAAUAUAGGUAGCCUUGAUGGGUUUUAUUUGAACUUUCUAAAAAGGACUUAUAUUUCCACUUCAGACUGUCUGCAAAUGCUAGGAGCAUAUGCCUAAGACAUUUUGUAGUUAGAUACGUGAACAUGAAAGUUUUCAAAUGACUGUAAACUAUUUUUUCUUGUCUUUUUGGAGAGACUGAUCUUUUUCCCAAGACCAGCUCCCAGUGAUGCUCAUCAGCUGCUAUGAUUCGUUUUUAGAACUUUUACAGACUUCACAGUCAUCAAACCCACACCAAGAGGAGCCAACUAUUAUCCUAAAAGGUGAUUGCCUGGUGUUUCAGAAGACUUAACGCAAGAGCUGGCUACUUCUUCACUUCUUUUUCCAAUUAUUCCUGCAGGGGCUCUAGCUGAGGCGUGCCUUCGCAUGUCUAUGAGGGGGGAAAAAUGUGAAUCUUAAGUAGAGUACAAAAAGUAAUUCAGGAGCAAUGGAACCGGUUAAAGACCUCUACCCAGUUGUCCUAAUGACUCUUUACAUUGUUACUGCUUAGGCUUUGGAGUCCACAAGGCUGCCUUUGAAUCUUGGCCUCUGUGAUGUAAAACACUGGUUAGGUGCUCACCCAGUCGUAUUCGUUCCGUCCUCUUGCUUACAGAACCUUAAUUUUGUGUGCGUGAAAAUGUGUCUCCUACUUAUUUUCCUUUCAAGCUUCACUUCAGCUCAAGGGGCCGUAUAUGACAGAACCCUGGCCAUCUGCUUGGGUUCUGUCACAGCUUUCCUGAUAAAAAGAGGACGCUUAUGGCUCAUACCCUCUUCUGCUCUCUUUCUGCCUUAAACAUUGACAUGAUGUCUGGAACUGCAGCAGCUAUCAUGUGCUUCUGCAGAAAAGGCUGAAAGAGUCACAGAUACCAGCCCCCUGACAUUGUUGAAAAGCUAAUCCAACAUCUGCAUUCACCAUAUUCCAGAUUGUCAAUUAUGUAGAAGA